rnacentral:rRNA from 1 species
UACGGAGGGGGCUAGCGUUGUUCGGAAUUACUGGGCGUAAAGCGCACGUAGGCGGCUUUGUAAGUUAGAGGUGAAAGCCCGGGGCUCAACUCCGGAAUUGCCUUUAAGACUGCAUCGCUAGAAUUGUGGAGAGGUAAGUGGAAUUCCGAGUGUAGAGGUGAAAUUCGUAGAUAUUGGGAAGAACACCGGUGGCGAAGGCGGCUCUCUGGACCGUAACUGACGCUGAGGCGCGAAAGCGUGGGGAGCAAACAGG